rnacentral:misc_RNA from 1 species
UUGAGGGCUCGCCAGGCUUCGCUCUCUAAAAUUUCGAUGAGUUUUGAAAGUCGCGAUAGAUUUUGUAAAUUUUAAAAAUCGUGAGUCUUGGCGAAUUUGUAAAUCUCUCGAAUCGCAUCGAAGUUAAGAUUCAAGCUCUCGCCGCUACUCUUACCGAGAUACUCACAUUGUACCGUCGAGUGUCUGGUCUAGAAGAAACAAAUAAAGUUUAGUUAGCAGCGUAGCAUAUUAACAACGGCAAAGCCAACCGAGUUUGAUAGUAUUAUUAAAUAGAUUAAUAGAAAGUUAUAUUUUUCAAAUAAUAAACCUGACACUAUACGGGAUUUAUUAUGGGAUUUAUUUAUUUAUUUGUAUCUCACAUUCUGAAAUACCGAUCACGAGAAAAAUCAGUGUGUCUCUUACGUUUUCUACGAUUUGCUACAACAAAUAUGAGAAUUAUAUUCAAUUUAAUCGUCACGUCGCAAACGAUAACGAAUUUGUCACCUUACGGGAUACCGCCACAUGUAAUACUGUAAUAGCACAUUGGACGAGGUACAGAAUGUAUUGUCCUCGCGGCAGCAAGAAAGUAAAGGAUAACUCAAAACUAAUCCGAUACUCACCAUUUAAAAUCCCGCCGCAAAAUGGCCGUUACCAACGUGUUUUAUUUCAUAUUUAUUUACAGCCAGCGACUCUUCUCGAAUAAAAGCCAAUAUGGCAUCAAAGAACCGCGUAAAAUACACUAAAAUAAACGUUAAAUGUUAGACAAAUCUAUGCGUUAAAAAUGCUCAAUUUUACGUAUGCAUAAUUUUUAAAAUGGUAAAUUCAUAAUGUCCAUAGUAUCUUGUUCUACCGGGGUGGAGCCGAAGAAAGGGAUUUUGGAUGUGCACAUUCACUGCGAAGAAACUUCAAUUCCUGAUUCUUUCAUUUAGUAUUUGAAGAGUUUGCGCGUUUAAAAGGACACUUUAAUCCAAUUAACUCCCCUAACAUUUCACCCUAACGAUCGUAGUUUCUCAACGGGUGAAGAAAAUGGUUUAUGUUCGUAUUAAUAUAUUUGAUCAAUCUUAUUUUAAGUACUAAUUUUAUGAAGUAAAGAUAAAUAUAUAUGUAUCAAUUAAAUGAAUGGCAUAAACUAUUUUUUCUAUUCAUUUCAUUCAUUCAUUUGGAAUAUAUAAAUAUUAGAGUAGAGGCCUGGUACAAUAUGCCAGAAAUAAAGAUUUACUAUGUUAUUUAAAUUUAUUGUUCAUAUAAUACAUCACUUUUGUAGCGAAAACAUGGAAUAGUCCCAAAUAUUUAAGGCACGUAGGUGAAUUAUAUUGAAUAU